rnacentral:rRNA from 1 species
UAUCAAGCUACUAAGGGCUUACGGUGGAUGCCUUGGUGCCAGGAGUCGACGAAGGGCGUGACAGGCUGCGAUAAGCUUCGGGGAGCCGCUUAAUAGGCUUU